rnacentral:rRNA from 1 species
UACAUGAGCGACAAGCAUUAUCCGUAAUUAUUGGGUGUAAGGGAUGCGUAGAUGGUUUAUAAAGUUUAUAUCAACUAAAUAUAUUUAUGUUUGAAUUUUAUAAAAACUAUAAACUUGAGUUCAAUAGAAGUAAAUAUAAUUUAUAAAUAAGCGAUAAAAUGCGAAAAAUUUAUAAUUUAUACCAUUGAUGAAGACAAUUUACUAUAUUAAACUGACAUUGAGGCAUGAAAGUAUGGUGAUCGAUCAGG